rnacentral:snRNA from 1 species
GGCUGUGAGGGUGAUCUGGCUGCGACAUUUGUCACCCUUUUGAUGGCCAGGGUUGAUUUAGGCUGAUCUGGCUGGCUAGGCGCGUGUCCUUUCCUCCCUCCCUGCUCCACGUGCAUGCCUCCUGAAGCUGCGUACUGGGCCGGAGAGGAUGACUGUCCCGAUGGAGGGGGACGGUCUUUGGUCAAGGGUAUAUGAGUAGCUGCGCUCCCCUGCCAGAACCUCCAAACAAGCUCUCAAAUUACUAAAUUAUCAGGAACUAAUAUCUUUGGAGAAUAUUUUCUAAUCUUUCCAGAGGUGUUUUUGUG